rnacentral:tRNA from 1 species
UCCAGGGUAGCCUAGUGGACAUGGCAUCUGCCCGGUAAGCGGAAGGUUGUAGGUUCGAUUCCCGCCCCUGGAC